CUUCUUGCAAUCUAGGCAUGUAACAACGUUUUUCAGAGAUCCACUAAAAAUACGAUGAAUAGGACAAGUGCACGGCAUUGAUGUUCCUCCUCCGCUUUCCGUAUGCAUUUGGUCCAGCAAGUAUACAAAAAAUUCGUGGCCAUCUUGCUGGGAGUAACCACAUAAAGAUUUGCUGAGUUUCCACAUAAGAUUUAAGACAGCAGUGGGACCGUAAAAAGUAGAUUUGUUUUUAGAAUUAUAAAUAGAUGAAAACAUAUCGUCAAUGGCACAAGUCAUGCAAGUAGGUCGCUUACAAUCAGUAGAAGUAUGAAACCCACUGAAAAACAAGUUUCGAACCAAUGGAUUAUGCAAAAUACUUUGUAAAAUGACGCUCAUGAAACAAGUAGCACCCAAGUUCUGGAUCCCCCUCAA